rnacentral:rRNA from 1 species
AAUUGGAGGGCAAGUCUGGUGCCAGCAGCCGCGGUAAUUCCAGCUCCAAUAGCGUAUAUUAAAGUUGUUGCAGUUAAAAAGCUCGUAGUUGAAUUUCGGGAUCAAUAUUUCGGUCAUGCCGUUGGUAUGCACUGUUAUCAUUGAUUUCUCACCUUCUAAAGAACCGUAAUGCCAUUAAUUUGGUGUUACGGGGAAUUAGGACUGUUACCUUGAAAAAAUUAGAGUGUUUAAAGCAGGCUCACGCUUGAAUACAUUAGCAUGGAAUAAUGAAAUAGGACAUCCGAUUCUAUUUUGUUGGUUUCUAGGAUCGAUGUAAUGAUUAAUAGGGAUAGUUGGGGGCAUUAGUAUUCAAUUGUCAGAGGUGAAAUUCUUGGAUUUAUUGAAGACUAACUACUGCGAAAGCAUUUGCCAAGGAUGUUUUCAUUAAUCAAGAACGAAAGUUAGGGGAUCGAAGACGAUCAGAUACCGUCGUAGUCUUAACCAUAAACUAUGCCGACUAGGGAUCGGAUGAUGUUAAUUUUUUAAUGACUCAUUCGGUGCCUUACGGGAAACCAAAGUGU